rnacentral:rRNA from 1 species
UAAGGAAUAUUGCUCAAUGGGAGAAAUCCUGAAGCAGCAACGCCGCGUGGAGGAUGAAGGGUCUAUGACUUGUAAACUCCUGUAAAGAAGGAAAAAAUUCCCAUUUGAUGGGAGAUGAUGGUACUUCUGGAGUAAGCCCCGGCUAACUACGUGCCAGCAGCCGCGGUACUACGUAGGGGGCAAGCGUUGUCCGGAUUUACUGGGCGUAAAGGAUGCGUAGGCGGAUACUUAAGUCAGAUGUGAAAAUCCCGGGCUUAACUUGGGAACUGCAUUUGAAACUGGGUAUCGAGAGUGCGGGAGAGGAAAGUGGAAUUCCUAGUGUAGCGGUGAAAUGUGUAUAGAUUAGGAAGAACACCAGUGGCGAAGGUGACUUUCUGGACCGUAACUGACGCUGAGGCAUGAAAGCGUGGG